rnacentral:rRNA from 1 species
UACGGGGGAGAGCAAGCGUUGUUCGGAUUUACUGGGCGUAAAGGGCGCGUAGGCGGCGCGUAACAAGUCACCUUGUAGAAAUCUCCGGGCUUAACCCGGAGCGGUCAAGUGAUACUGUCGUGCUAGAGUGCGGAAGGGGCUACUGGAAUUCUCGGUGUAGCGGUGGAAAUGCGUAGAUAUCGAGAGGAAACACCUGGCGGCGAAGGCGGGUAGCUGGGCCGACACUGACGCUGAUGCGCGAAAGCCGGGGAGGCGAACGGG